rnacentral:rRNA from 1 species
UACGUAGGGUGCAAGCGUUAAUCGGAAUUACUGGGCGUAAAGCGUGCGCAGGCGGUUUUGUAAGUCUGACGUGAAAUCCCCGGGCUUAACCUGGGAAUUGGCGUUGGAGACUGCAAGGCUGGAGUCUGGCAGAGGGGGGUAGAAGUUCCACGGUGUGAGCAGUGAAAUGACGUAGAGAUGUGGAGGAACACCGAUGGCGCAAGG